GUUUACUGGUAGCAAACGACAACAGAACAGGACGGGGGAAUAUUACUCCGUCUUUAAGAUCGUCGCAUAGCUCUCCAGAGGGAUAUUACUCCGUUGAUAGAAUUUGAUUUGUUAGUGCAGAGUAAAGCUGUCCAAGAGAAUAUUACUCCGUAGAUGUGAUGGUGGAUGCCCAGAGGAAUAUUACUCCGUAGAUGUGUUUGCAGACGUCCAGAGGAAAUGUUACUCCGUAGAUGUGUCUGCAGACGUCCAUAGGAAUAUUACUCCGUAGAUGUGUCUGUGUACGCCCAGAGGAAUAUUACUACGUAGAUGUGUUUGCAGACAUCCAGUGGAAUGUUACUCCGUAGAUGCGUUUGCAGACGGCCAUAAGAAUAUUACUACGUAAAUGUGUUUGUGAACGCCAAGAGGAAUAUCACUCCGUAGAUAUUAACAGACGUUUAUAUUACUCUGUAGUUUAGAUAUCGCUUCAAUAGAACUUUGCAUACUUAGCGUUCUGGAGGAUUGUUACUCUGUCGAAAAACUUUCGUCGUAGUAUAGCAUUACAUAGAGGAAUAUUACUCUGUGGCUUAGACUUAGUCCUAAUAGAACUGUGUAAUAUAAGCCUUCUGGGGGAAUAUUACUCCAUAGAUAAGUGUUUGUCGUAGCAGAACUGUACAUAGAAAACUUUUACUCCGUAGUUCAUAUUUUGUCUUAACAGACUUUACUCCGUAGUUAGAUUUUGGCUCAAUAGAGCUGUGCAUACAUAGGUAUAGCCUUCUGGAGGAAUAUUACUCCGUAAUACAGAUAUUGCUUCAAUAUAACUUUGCAUACUUAGCGUUCUGGAGGAAUAUUACUCUGUAGAUAAGUUUCGUCGUAGUAGAGCUGCACAUAGAGGAAUAUUACUACAUAGUUAAGAUUUUCUCUUAUAAUCAUCGUACAAAAUCUUCUAGAGGAAUAUUACCCUGUAAAUGAGAUUUUGUCUUACUUGAACCUUACAACAUUCUUGUUUUAGUUUAGAUUUGUAAAUAUCUUUAGAAGAAUAUUACUCUGUAGUGAAUUUUCAGACUUCAGAAGCUUUGCAUUAAAUGGUCUUCUGGAGGAUUGUUACUCCGGAGGUAAGGGGUGAAGUUUUUGUCACACUCGUACAUGUGCGUAUAUUUACAGAGGAAUGUUACUCCAUACUUUAGUGUUUUGUUGAAAGACUGUUCUAAAUAUGAAUAAAUUUUUUAAGAAGA